rnacentral:lncRNA from 1 species
GACAAGGAUGAUUCUUUAUAUUUUUGGCUACCACUUCAAAUGCCUCCACUAAGUGUUACAAUGCUGCACGCAGCCAUACUAAGGAUCUCACAGCAACACUUGCAGGUAAACAGCAAAAGCAGUCAAAGUGCUGGUGUAUUCUGGACACUGUCUUUGAAAACUUUUAGGCAAGAACAGUGCAAGAAACAGACAUAAGAACUGCAUUUAUUUCUAUAAUUCCCCAUUUGAAUGGCCUUUUCUUUUUCCUUCGACAAUGCCUUCGCCUAGCCACAGCAGCUCCCUCAUACAGACUCCGCAAGCCAAGAGGCCGUGGAGGCAAAUGCAGACAGCCAGCACACCUCGAACAGCCACCUUGACUGCGGGUGUGUCACCCUAGUCGCCAAGGAAACAUUUGAGGGAAAGCGACAGGCUAUGUGAACAGCCACUUCUCCAUGUAAACGAUACUCUUUCUCUCGGAUGACUCCUACGUUCGCCACGCCAGCACACUUGUGCACAAAGAUGCCACGGAGGCACGUGCAGGUCAGAGGCAAGAAGCAGUGGCACUGGUGUCGACAUUCGCCCAAUUUCUUUUUCUUACACUGAGGCAGCCAGCACACCUCAAACAGCCACCUUAACUGCGGGUGUGUUAGUAGAUUCCUGUUGUACAUAUGCUCAUAAUAAACUUCAGUAAACUUGAACUUGAUAAUAAACUUGAAGGCAAAUGGGA